rnacentral:rRNA from 1 species
AUUGAACGCUGGCGGCAGGCCUAACACAUGCAAGUCGAACGGUAACAGGAAACAGCUUGCUGUUUCGCUGACGAGUGGCGGACGGGUGAGUAAUGUCUGGGAAACUGCCUGAUGGAGGGGGAUAACUACUGGAAACGGUAGCUAAUACCGCAUAACGUCGCAAGACCAAAGAGGGGGACCUUCGGGCCUCUUGCCAUCGGAUGUGCCCAGAUGGGAUUAGCUAGGAGGUGGGGUAACGGCUCACCUAGGCGACGAUCCCUAGCUGGUCUGAGAGGAUGACCGGCCACACUGGAACUGAGACACGGUCCAGACUCCUACGGGAGGCAGCAGUGGGGAAUAUUGCACAAUGGGCGCAAGCCUGAUGCAGCCAUGCCGCGUGUAUGAAGAAGGCCUUCGGGUUGUAAAGUACUUUCAGCGGGGAGGAAGGGAGUAAAGUUAAUACCUUUACUCAUUGACGUUACCCGCAGAAGAAGCACCGGCUAACUCCGUG